GACGAACGCUGGCGGCGUGCCUAUACAUGCAAGUAGAACGCUGAAGAGAGGAGCUUGCUCUUCUUGGAUGAGUUGCGAACGGGUGAGUAACGCGUAGGUAACCUCCUGGUAGCGGGGGAUAACUAUUGGAAACGAUAGCUAAUACCGCAUGAUAUUAAUUGUCGCAUGAUAAUUAAUUGAAAGAUGCAAUUGCAUCACUACCAGAUGGACCUGCGUUGUAUUAGCUAGUUGGUGAGGUAACGGCUCACCAAGGCGACGAUACAUAGCCGACCUGAGAGGGUGAUCGGCCACACUGGGACUGAGACACGGCCCAGACUCCUACGGGAGGCAGCAGUAGGGAAUCUUCGGCAAUGGGGGGAACCCUGACCGAGCAACGCCGCGUGAGUGAAGAAGGUUUUCGGAUCGUAAAGCUCUGUUGUAAGAGAAGAACGGGUGUGAGAGUGGAAAAG
rnacentral:rRNA from 1 species